rnacentral:misc_RNA from 1 species
GGUAAGUUCAUAUUAUGUUCUUUUACUUAAGAAGCCUGCUUCCAACUAAAUAUGGAAGCCUUAUAUGUAACAUAAAAUCCUAAUAGGAUUAGGUCUAGAACAUAAAACCUAAUAGAAAUAGAUCUUUGUCCAUCUAAAUGAAGUCAAAUCUUAGCUGUCCAAAAUAAUAUAGCCAAAAAAUCAAGAAAAUAAAUCAAUAACCCUGAUUUUAAAACUGCUACAGGAGUGUGAGAAGUGAUAGGUUACAGAAAUGUGAAAUAGUAAAAAAUUCUAAAUUUUUGCUCCUGUAUCAAUUAAUUAAUUUCGUAGGAUUUAGCAGGUGAAUGAGAAAAGCUUGGUUGUGGCCUUUUAAAUUAGUUCUAUUACAUCAUUCCCACCUCAGAGAAACUGAUUUGGACACAAAAAAUUGAAGGGAAACAACUUGGCUUGCUGAAUAUAGGCUUUUAUUAAUC